rnacentral:lncRNA from 1 species
AUGCAUGCAUAAAAUAUAAAAUAUAUGAAUCUACUUCAUAUGCUGAAAUUGGACACAUGUUGAAUUUUAUGCUGAAAUUCAAUAUGUGAUCAAAUCAUAUCUGUUUUAUAAUUUCUUUCUUCAAAUCUAGAUCUGAAAGAGAGUAGAUUCUUUCUUAGCCAUAUAAACAUCCGAUCUCUAUGGGUAUCUACUCAGAAUCAGCUGGGAAC